rnacentral:rRNA from 1 species
UACGAAGGGGGCUAGCGUUGCUCGGAAUUACUGGGCGUAAAGGGCGCGUAGGCGGGUGUUUAAGUCAGAGGUCAAAUCCCGGGGCUCAACCUCGGAACUGCCUUUGAUACUGGACACCUAGAGUAUGGGAGAGGUGAGUGGAACUCCGAGUGUAGAGGUGAAAUUCGUAGAUAUUCGGAAGAACACCAGUGGCGAAGGCGACUCACUGGCCCAUUACUGACGCUGAUGCGCGAAAGCGUGGGGAGCAAACAGG